rnacentral:misc_RNA from 1 species
AACGCAUAUUGCACUCUUUUCUGAAGAGUAUGCCUGUUUGAGAAUCUAUAGUUUUCAUUUUCAGUGUUAUUUCGGUAGCAAAGAAAGACGUGAGGUUUCUCUACCAAGAGUGCCUUGAAAUCUAUAGCUGGCUUGUGCAGCAGAAAAUAUUUGAAUGAACCAUGUUCUCUUUUAUGAUUAUGUUUGUACAUUGAAGCCAGUCCAAGGUAUGUUAAUACAGAGACAAGUUUCUUGUCUGAACCAUGGUCUCAAAUCAGGUAGGAGGACCCGCUGAACUUAA